CACUUCCAGAAGUAGGGUUGCCUUCCUCGCUUUCUGUUCUGAAGAUCUCUUCCUGCCCACAAUUUCUAUCACUACCAGAAAAUGGUCUCCCCUCCUCUGUAUGUCGAUUAGAGAUCAAUGACUGUCCAUUGCUUACUCCUCGUUUACAUAGCAAGAAAGAGGAGGACUGGCUAAAGAUUGCUGGAAUCCACACUCUACUUAUAGACUAGGAAUUGGUCUAGUAGUGAAGAAGAACAUGGUCCCUUAUCUGCAUUCUUCCAUUGUACAAAUCAAUAUAAGAUGUGUUGUUACAUGAGGGAAAAGUUAUUCAUAUGAUGUGAUAUAUGCCAAAACAGAUGGAUGGAGAGAUUCGACUGGUAUGACGUGCAUUUUAGAAGAAUGGAGGAAGUAAAUUAUUCUCAUUUGGAUUUCAGUUUGACUGAUAGGUUGCCUUCCUUCGGCAGUGAUCGAGCUAGCUUUUGAUUGCUUCUGCUGAAUUACGCAAUUUUCAUACUGAAGCAUACCAUAUAACUUACAACUUAAAAAGUUAAAAGUGUUGCAAUUUGGUGUGGUAAAUCUCUAUUAGAAAGUUGUUUCAAUUUCCUAAACAUUGGGAAGUCUAUUUACAAUUAAAACAUAAGCAUUUUAAAUGAUGAAGGCAUUUGUAUGCCAUGUAAAAGUAUUGAAUAAGCUAAACAAGGUCUUUAUCUCAGAUUUAUGGGAGAUGACGGCUUAAACCUUAUACUUAUCCAAGCCGAAGGCUUCCCCUAUUGUAUAAAGAAAGGUAAUCUAGUGUACAAUAUUCCUCUAGUGUGCCACUGCCACCUAAGUUGUUCUUCCGAAUGUCUAUAAUAGUUCAUCAGCUAUAUUGGUUUA